AUGGCAACACUACCUAUGGCCAAAAGUGUUUAUAAUUCACACCAACCAUGAAUCUUUGAAGCAUUUGAAAGGUUAAGGUAAGCUAAACAAGAGGCAUGCAAGAUGGAUGGAGUUCAUUUAGAUUUCACACAUGUCAUUCGGUUUAGACAAGGUAAAAGAAAAUGUAGUAGCAGAUUUUUUAUGAAGAAGGUACAUACUUUUAACCCCCUUAAGUGCUCAACUACUUGGAUUUACGUAUAUUAAGGACAUAUAAGCUAAUGGCCAAGAUUUUUCCAAUAUAAACGAAUCAUGUGAUAAAGGUACUAUGGAUAAAUCUUUAGGCAUGAUGGGUAUUGGGAAAGCAAAUUGUGCAUUCCUAAGUAUUCAAUGAGAGAAGUGUUAGUAAGAGAAGCUCAUAGUAGGGAUUUAAUAGGACAUUUUAGGGUUAAAAAGACCUUAGAUAUGCUAAGUAAACAUUUUUAUUGGCCUAAGAUAAAAAUUUGUUUGAACGGGUUUGUAGUAGACACAUCACUUGUAAAAAAGCUAAAUCUAAGGUUUUACCUCAGGUUUUGUAUACACCAUUACCUAGGUUGAUCUAUCUAUGAAUUUUGUAUUAUGUUUACCUAGGACUAUAAGGGAAGAGAUUCCAUAUUUGUGGUAAUAGAUAGGUUUAGUAAAAUGGCACACUUCAUUCCAUGUCAUAAAACUGAUAAUGCUACAAAUAUUGUAGAUCUAAUCUUUAAAAAAGUAGUGCAUAUACAUGAG
rnacentral:sRNA from 1 species